GCUGCGAGCGUGAGCUGCGCGCCGAGAGCGGAAGAGGAGACGCAGUUUGGCGGCUGUGGGGAUUUGCCGGAAGGUUAAUAAUGUCCAUGGGCACAUCGGCCUCCUCCUUUCUUAUUCUCUCCCAAGUGUAAUUCCAGGACGCCCCCUGAGCGCAGAUUCAUCCAGGCAUUUGGCCUAGAGGCCCGCGGAGGAGAAAUAAAGUACAGGCCUGGUAGGACCUUUGAGAACCUGGGCUUCAGCUACAAAACCAGAGCCCCAGUCCUUCAUCUGCUGUCUCCUCAAGCUCUUUUCAGUGUAUUGUGGAGUUCAUUACCACUCUAAGCUCGCACGGAAGUGUACACCAGCUUCGUGAUCUUAAAAGCAAAACAAAAUCAAAUGGACUAGGAAUUAACUUGAAGCAGAGUUGUGACACUUAAGUGGUUUCUUGCCAUCAGUUUCCACGCACUGCUUUAAGAUGCAAUUUUACAAGGGCAUUAACAACAAAAAGGUUGAGAAACACUGUAGCAGGAGAAGAUGCAACAACAACCAAAAAAGACAUUUUUUAAAGAGGAUGUCUCUACAUGCCUUUGAUCGUCAGAUCUCUGAAGUAUUUACUGAAGAGGUCUUCCUAUUCCCUGAGACACAACAAUAUUGAAAUAGGGCCAAUUAAUAACCCUACAAUGGUCUGUAAUUGUGCAAGUGGAAGAAAGAAUCGUGUGCCUCUCGCUUUAAAUCAAAAGCUAGAAAUGAUUAAGCUGACUGAGGAAGGCAUGUUUGAAGCUGAAACAGACUGAAAGCAAGUCCUCUUGCACCAAAAGGCCAAGUUGUUAAAGCAAAGGAAAAAUUAUUGAAGUAAAUUAAGUGCUACUCUAGUAAACACAAUUGAUAAGAAAGCAAAACAGCCUUAUUGCUGGUACAGAGAAAGUUUGAGUCGUUUGGGUAGAAGAUCAAACCAGCCACAACAUUCCCUUAAGCAAAAGCCUAAUCCAGAGGGCCCUAACUCUCUUCAAUUCUAUGAAGACUAAGAGAGGUGAGAAAGCUGCAGAAGAAAAGUUGGAAGCUAGUAGAGUUUGGUUCAUGAGGUUUAAGGAAAAAAGCCAUCGCUAUAACGUAACAGGUCAAGAAGGAAGUGUUGAUGUAGAAGCUACAGCAAGUUAUCUGAAAGAUCUAGCUGACUAGAACCCAGACAGGACUCUGACUCAGCCUCCACGCAGACAACAGCAAGGCCAUAGAGAUGGUGGAGCCAUACACCGAAGGAACCUGAGUCACUCUGUGACUGCCCAGAGAAAAGCUGUCCCAUUCACCUGAACUGGACACCUUGGACUAUUAUGUGGAAGGGAAAUAAACUUCUUUGCUCUUUAGGCUGCAUCACUGGAUCUCUUCCCAUGACUUACCCUUUGCCCCAGCUAAUGCAUCUGGGAUUUGGAAAAUGCUCAAUCUAUACUUACUGGAUUUUUUACAUUUUAAAAAAUAAAAAUAGGCUCAUGCCUGUAAUCCCAGUGCUUUGGGAGGCCUAGGCAGGCAGAUCACUUGAGGUCAGGACUUUGAGACCAGCCUGGCCAACAUGGUGAAACCUCGUCUUUACUAAAAAUACAAAACUUAGCCAGGUGUGGUGGCAGGUGCCUGUAAUCCCAGCUACUCAGGAGGCUAAGGCCAGAAAAUCGCUUAAACCCGGGAGGUGGAGGUUGCAGUGAGCUGAGAUCGCACCACAGCACUCCAGCCUAAGCGACAGAAUGAGACCCUGUAACAAAAUAAUAAAAUAAAAUAAAAUAAAAAUAAAACAAAAAGCAAAUAUAAAUAUUAAUUGGAUUCCUAAUAUAGAGAACGGCAUAUGUAGCAUAGCCAAAAAGAACCUAGUCACUAAAAGAGGUAAUGAGCAUGCCCAAAACAAGAGGCUAAUGACAAGAUUAGUGAGAAAUUAUCAGUGGUGAUUAAGUUGGGAAAGUAUUUAUGGCUACUAUUAUAAAGUAUAAAUUUUUUUUCCCAACUCUCAUGUACCUACCCCUUACAAUGAAUAAAUGUUAGCAUUUUUAAAAAUUUA
rnacentral:lncRNA from 1 species